GAUGCAGUCUUCUUCCUCUUCUUCUUCCUGCUUGUUUUUCAUAUUUUCUGUAUGCACUGUGGUGUACUGGACCCCUUUGCAGUCCAUGUGGUGGUGGGGUGAUGGUGGUGGAGGUCUGGUAGUUGUGGUGGGGAAGGAAUUGAGGGCUUCUCCUUACUGCAUAUAUUCAUUCUCUGGGCAUCCUCUCCUUGCCCUGCAAUUUCAGACUCUCCCCCAAGUGGCCCCAGCCUUAGCUUGCUUUGCAAAAAGGAUACUGCUCAGUUACAGUACACUACCGUGGAGGGGAGGGGUGUGUGUAUGCACACACACAUGUGUGCCUGUUGUGUGUACACAAAUGUGUGUCCUUGUAUAUAUGAUAAUGAUUAUUAUAUAUGUGUGUGUGUAUAUAUAUACAUAUAUAUGUGUGUAUAUAUAUAUAAUGCCACCAGUAUUAGAAUCAUGAGUAGCCUUUUGUGGGUCCGGGCCUCUAUGCAGAAGUAUUUAAGCCAUUCAUUAACAAAACACUCUGGAAGAAAAUAGCAUUGUAUAUAUGUGAGCUGACAUUUAAAAGAACUCAAGGAUAUAAAUUGGGGGACUGGAGGGAGCAGUGUUCUUCCCUGGGAGCCUGGUUUGGGGUGAUUUGGGGGUUAAUGCCAGAAGGAAAUGGAAUAAUGAGAGAGAAGAGCAUCAGUGGAAAGUGGUCCCUAGAGAAGGUUUGGUCUCCAGCUACCCUUGAGCCAGGGGCCCCUGGAGGCCAGGGUUUGUUCUGGGGGACUUUAGAGCUAUCCUCCAGUCCUCCUGGCCUGGUCUAGGUGGUCUCCACAUCUUUGUGCGAGGUCAGUGCACUUUUGAGUCAGGCUGCUCACUCUGCUGAGUUUUGCUGAAUGUUGACUGUUAGAUGUUGACCACAAGGCAUCAUCCUUGUCACCAGGACCACCUCAAAGGUUCCUUCAUGCGUAGGUUUAUUUUUCACCCUCACUCUGUAAUAGGCUUCUCUCAGGAUUCCUAUGUGUCUGUAGGGAUCUGUGUGUUGUGUCCAAAGAAAGAGUUUAUUAAGCACCUGGACAGUGUUCAUUAAUAAAUGCCUGAGCAUUGAUUAAGCACUUUUGUUUGUACUGUGGACUUGGGAGUUGACCUCAGCUACCUCAUAGAAAGUGGUUGUUUUUUUUGUUUGGGCUUUGUUUUUUUUUUGUUUUUAAACUGAUGAACCCAACCCAUGAGUAGACACGUUCAUUCUUUUUGGGAAGAGAAAUGAAAGGACUUCAAUGCCCACUCAAGCCAUUUGAAAGUUUCUAACUUUGGCUUGAAUAAUGAUGGUUCUGAUAGGUCUGAACUUAAGUAUUAAAGCAGAAGACAGCAGUAUAUGGGUGCAGAUGUAUAACCUCUGCCUUGUGUGCACUUGGGAGCAGCAGUAGGCAUCAUCUGCUGGGUGCUGCUGUCUUCCAGGGGGUCUCCACUCCCUUAUGCCAACUCAGAUUUUUUAAGCAUGCAGAGCUCCGAGAAUGAAAAAAUGUGCCUGUCCUCUCCCUAAAAAGAUGUUGCGACGCUGUUCUUCUGAAUGCCACCACAAAAGAACCCCUGAAUGAGAAGAGAAGUUAUCCAGUGCAUUGUAGGGUCUGUGUUCAAGCAACAGCCGGAGUUCUGAAAUAUUUGACAUUACUAAGAAGACUAGUGGACAGUUGAAGAUGUCUGUUGGGAGUCAUACUUUGCAUACCUGUAAUUUCUGAGCUUCCUCUCAGUGGUGUGGAUUGUACUGCCAAAAAAACAAAAACAAAAAAACUGAAAAUAAAUAACCUGUGGCCAUUUUUUAGAUUUCCAGUUUUAAGUGUCUAUUGAUCUUGCUGAGGCUUCUAUCUUUUUUGAUUGAAAUGGAUGCUCUAUCGUGACAUGAUGUAUGCUUUUAGGAACUGGGGUUACUAUUUGGCCAAAAGAAAAUUAUUUGCACACUAAAAAAAUCACAGGAUUUAAAUUUGGAUGAUUUAGGAGGUGAGGGAGGAGACAACAAUUCAGAGUAUUAGAUGUGUUUUCGCCAUUCUAGCUUCUGGUAUAAUGCUGAUUGUUUCUUAGACCUGAUUUGAAUGGAGAAGUUGGUGACCUUGGGGGGCUUUCAUCCCGUGAGCUCUUUGGCACCUCAGAGGGGCACUGUGAAAAGCUUCUCACCCUGUUUGUAUUUUAUCCAUAAUGUAUGUCAUCAAUGAUGUGUGUUUAAUCAAAGCUCCAUGUUUUUAUUAAUAAAGACUACCUUUCCUAACUUUA